UUCGAUGUGGUUUGUGGAAAGGUAUGCUAGCUUCUUAUAUAAAUAUGGGGAUGCAUUACAUAUCGUUGUAGGAAAAGAUUAUUCAAUAAUUUUCUUCUUUCUUCUCUUUGUGUUUAUGUAGGUAUAUAGGUAAGUUGAAGUCGAAUGUCCGUAACAGAGCUCAUCCUGAAGGAUCUAUCGCCGAAGCAUUUUUGGCAGAUGAGUGCAUGACAUUUUGUUCAAGAUAUAUUAUCGGUUUUGAGACUAAGCAUAACUUGGCUUCGAGGAACGAAGAUGACGAGGAGUAGGUUGGGAAUCAUGAUAUUGCACAUGGAUCAAGAUUAUUUCCUCAUUCUGGCAAUCCACUUGGAAGGCCUAGGAAUUAUGUUCUGAGCGGUGUGGCUAAAGUACAGGCACAUAGAUAUGUCUUGUUCAAUUGCUCCGAUGUGAACUCAUACCUUAGAGCUCAUGCUGAUGAGAUAACUAAUGGACGUAAUUUAAACCUUGAUGUUGUUGAGAGGAUUCAAAACGAUAAGUUCCACGAAUGGUUCCAAGCUCAUAUAAAGAAAUUGGAGAAGGAAAAUGGCGUCCAUAGUAUUGAAAAGGAUAUUAGAUUGUUGGCCCGGGGCCCAGUUAAUGCAGCCAAAAGAUAUUGCGCUUUCAACUCCCGAGGCUACCAUUUUAGGCCUAAACGCUUGGAUAAAGAGACACAAAAUAGUGGAGUCAUGGUAACUGCAAAAACAUCUCGUUAUGAUUCAGCACGCGAUGCUAAUGCAGUUUUACAGGAUGUGACGUACUAUGGGAGGGUAAUUGAUAUUGUCGAGCUAAAUUACUCUGGACAGUUUUCAGUGGUGUUGUUUAGAUGUGAAUGGGUUAAUGUGUUCUGAGAAAAAGGAAUGAAAAAAGACAAGUACGGUUACACACUUGUCAAUUUCUCACAUCAAAUACACAAAGGAGAAAAGAUUGAGCAUGAGCCUUUUAUUUUCCCUAACCAGGCGAAUCAAGUGUUUUAUGUGAAAGAUGAAUUGAAUCCAGGUUGGUUUGUGGUAAUGAAGUUGCCAAAGCCUAGAGAUGUAUAUGACUUAGGUAACUUGGAAUGGGAAGAGGAGACAGAAAACCAGCCAUUUCAUGUUUCACAGCUUGGAGAGAUUUUGAAAAGAAAGAACAAUGACCAACACUGGGUUAGAACAGACGUUGAGGGGACAAUAGUGGAUGCUACUAGUGCUUCGAGCACCGAAGAAUAGUUGAGGUUAGUAGCAACAAGGUAUGCACUAUGUUCAGGUUUCGACUACAUGCUACAUGGAGGCAUAGAGGGGGUGGUGGCAUGUGUGCUUUGUGUUGGUACAGAACUGCUUGGUGGCUUCGUGCAGAGUAGCUAACAAACUUGCUUGACGAUAUACUAAUGUGUGAGACUAUGUGUUGGUCAAAACUUAGUGUACUCUUAUAUUUAUGCUUGAUAAUUUGGUUCGCUAUGAUAGCACGUGCUUAUCUGGAACUUCAUUUUGUACUUUAAUCAACAACAGUUCAUAAUUGAGAUACACGCAACUUGUUUGGAAAUUUA